CGACAUUCAUUUAGCUGGCUAGAAUUGAGGAGUUAUUUUGUUCUUGUGCUCGACAAGAAUAAAACCAUCAUGCUGGUUUUUCUUUUUGCUUCGGGGAUUAUUGUCUGCGAGAAUUCAGGGGCAAAAUAAUCAGCCAAGAGGAGCAAUAAAUGUCACAUGCACCCAGUAGGUGUUUCAUGCACAAGAUAAAGUAUGCCAACUACCAAUAUUGAGGUAAAAACUUGCUGCAUCAUUUGUGGCUGUGCUUCAAAGGACUUAUUUGUAAUCAGUAUUUCUGUUCCUCGCUCAGUUGAUCCUGUUAUAUUGGGUUUGUGUGUUAGUUGUCACAGUAGACGAUGAUUUUGUGGUUCAAGUGAAGAGGAGAAAAGAAAGAAAAGGAAAAGUUUAGCAUAUUCCUUUACCUCUUUUCGCAUUUGUUUAGUGCUGGUAAUAAACAUCUAUUUCAGUGCUUGCUAUUGCGCAUGUAGGACUUCUUGUAAUGUAAGACGGAAGUGAACAGGCCCCAAUAACAAUUGUUUAACCAACAGGGAAGAGG
rnacentral:lncRNA from 1 species